rnacentral:misc_RNA from 1 species
CAGGUACUAUAGGAGUUGACUCCAUACAUCAUAGUUCUCUGUUAUCUGUUAUAUUUUCAAUUUCAAAUUCCUUACUUCACUCUUUAUUGCAUGUAAAAUUUGGGGGUAUGAAUUUCUCUCUGCUCCCCUUUUGGGGUAUAGAGGAAAUGUUGUGUUGUGGUUGAGGUUUAUGGAAAACAAUGUUUUUCUGUAUCUGGUUUGUUGGUGAAACAUUCUGAAAGUUUGUUGACUGUUAUAUUUUGACCUUGAAACACGCACAAACAUGUUUUGAUUAGGCAUUGUGUUGACUAGUAGGCAGAGAAGAAAAUUUAUGAUGUCCUUUAUGGGGUGCAGUAUUGUGAUUUAAAAUUCGAUUAGAGAGAAUGGUUAGGGAAAAAGCACAAUUUCUUGUGCUACACUUUUGUGAUGUGUGGUUUCUGUCAUGUUGUGUACUCAUUCAAUGAUCUUGUAUCAUUUUCCUUGUUCUCUUCUUGUGUUUUUAUUUAUUAUUAUUUGUUAUCAUAUUUGGUGGACUGUUAGUCAGUAAUCUGUUUCAUUUGGGGUUGUUUUAUGCAUCACUUUUACUGCAUCUGAAGACUUUUGGCAUAGCACAUGGAGUAAAAUCCAUGUGGAUAAUAUAGAAGACCUUUGAGGUUUACUCCUCAGUGAUAUGAAGAAGUUAUGGUUUUCCAUUACACUGAUUGUCAUUUUGGCAGCCCAAUCCAGAUUGAGGGCAACUGGAGACAUAAUUGAUAUAUUAUGGAGUUUGAUUAGGUUUAUGUUAAAUAUUUGUAUUCUACUAGACCUCUCUUGUUACACAGAGGUUAAAUCAUAUCUAGUGAAUUCAUGUAAGUCUAGGUUGUAUGUCUUGACUCUUGAGACACUUGGCUCGGUAUCAAGUGCUUUGUAUACAUUGAUUGCUAUAUAGUGUAAAUUGUCUCAUAUUGAUUUUAGGGAAAAGUUAAAAGACAUACCCUUUUGGUUUACCCCUUUGUAGCUUAGGGGUAAUUAAAAAUAUAUAUAUAAAUAGAGAUUCGAAUGGUAUGCUUUUUUACUUUUUUUUAAAUCUAUUAUCCAAUUCUCUAGUUAUCUACUUGGAUAAUGUGUUUUAUGAUUAUGUUGAAACAUUAGUGCAUUACAAUAUGAGAUUUCAUUUGGCUUUCUUCCAAUUAUAAUAUUAAAUAUCAUAGUUGCUUACACAUUGUCACAUUUGAUGUUCAAAAUGUCAGAAUCAUAGUUGUAUGUUUCCUAUUCAUUUUCUUCUCUUGUUUCCAAUGUUUCUUAUUCUUUUUAUAACAUGAAAAAUAAUAGGAGUGAAGUUGGAUAUCGGGAUUUGCCUAAACUUGCUACUUUGACUGAAGUAUUUCCUUUGAUUGGCACUUGCAGGUGAUGUUAUUUGAUGAAACGA